UGGGGAAUCUUGGACAAUGGGGGCAACCCUGGAUCCAGCCAUGCCGCGUGAGUGAAGAAGGUCUUCGGAUUGUAAAGCUCUUUUGCCAGGGACGAUAAUGACGGUACCUGGAGAAUAAGCCCCGGCAAACUUCGUGCCAGCAGCCGCGGUAAUACGAAGGGGGCUAGCGUUGUUCGGAAUUACUGGGCGUAAAGCGCACGUAGGCGGGUGGUUAAGUUAGGGGUGAAAUCCCGGAGCUCAACUCCGGAACUGCCUUUGAUACUGGCCAUCUAGAGAUCGGAAGAGGUGAGUGGAAUUCCCAGUGUAGAGGUGAAAUUCGUAGAUAUUGGGAAGAACACCGGUGGCGAAGGCGGCUCACUGGUCCGAUACUGACGCUGAGGUGCGAAAGCGUGGGGAGCAAACCAGGAUUAGAUACCCCUGGUAGUCCACGCUGUAAACGAUGGAAGCUAGCCGUCAGUCAGCUUGCUGAGUGGUGGCGCACUAACGCAUUAAGCUUCCCGCCUGGGGAGUACGGUCGCAAGAUUA
rnacentral:rRNA from 1 species